rnacentral:rRNA from 1 species
UAGGGAAUCUUCGGCAAUGGGGGCGAACCCUGACCGAGCAACGCCGCGUGAGUGAAGAAGGUUUUCGGAUCGUAAAGCUCUGUUGUUAGAGAAGAACACGAGUGAGAGUAACUGUUCAUUCGAUGACGGUAUCUAACCAGCAAGUCACGGCUAACUACGUGCCAG